UGGGGAAUUUUGCACAAUGGGCGAAAGCCUGAUGCAGCGACGCCGCGUGCGGGAUGAAGGCCUUCGGGUUGUAAACCGCUUUCAGCAGGGACGAGGCCGCAAGGUGACGGUACCUGCAGAAGAAGCCCCGGCUAACUACGUGCCAGCAGCCGCGGUAAUACGUAGGGGGCAAGCGUUAUCCGGAUUCAUUGGGCGUAAAGCGCGCGUAGGCGGUUUGUUAGGUCAGGAGUUAAAUCUGGGGGCUCAACCCCUAUCCGCUCCUGAUACCGGCAGGCUUGAGUCUGGUAGGGGAAGGCGGAAUUCCAAGUGUAGCGGUGAAAUGCGCAGAUAUUUGGAAGAACACCGGUGGCGAAGGCGGCCUUCUGGGCCACGACUGACGCUGAGGCGCGAAAGCUAGGGGAGCGAACAGG
rnacentral:rRNA from 1 species